GUGUCCUUAGCUCAAUGGGCGAGCAGCCGCCAUGUAUAGCGGAAGAUGUGGGUUCGAUUCCUGCGGGAUACG
rnacentral:tRNA from 1 species